GAUGAACGCUGGCGGCGUGCCUAAUACAUGCCAGUCGAACGAAACUUCUUUAUCACCGAGUGCUUGCACUCACCGAUAAAGAGUUGAGUGGCGAACGGGUGAGUAACACGUGGGCAACCUGCCCAAAAGAGGGGGAUAACACUUGGAAACAGGUGCUAAUACCGCAUAACCAUAGUUACCGCAUGGUAACUAUGUAAAAGGUGGCUAUACUACCGCUUUUGGAUGGGCCCGCGGCGCAUUAGCUAGUUGGUAGGGUAAAGGCUUACCAAGGCAAUGAUGCGUAGCCGAAGUGAGAGGUUGAUCGGCCACAUUGGGACUGAGACACGGCCCAAACUCCUACGGGAGGCAGCAGUAGGGAAUCUUCCACAAUGGGCGAAAGCCUGAUGGAGCAACGCCGCGUGGGUGAAGAAGGUCUUCGGAUCGUAAAACCCUGUUGUUAGAGAAGAAAGUGCGUGAGAGUAACUGUUCACGUUUCGACGGUAUCUAACCAGAAAGCCACGGCUAACUACGUG
rnacentral:rRNA from 1 species